AACCAAGAGGAGAAAAGUCGUAACACAAUAGGCCCACCGGAAGGCGGGCCUGGAAAAU
rnacentral:rRNA from 1 species